rnacentral:lncRNA from 1 species
GAUGACCCCUCCAAAACGUCCUCGACUGAGAAUAGCUUGGGCAACACAGCCACAUCCAAGGACCUGGAAUGAGAGGAAAACUCAACAGAUGCUGAAAUGGCUUUUCUUAGGAGGAUAAUCAAUGCUGUGUGCUGCAGGAAAUAGGAGGAGUGAUGAGCAAUGUGGGGACUUCAGUUACCCUCAUCAGAAUCGCCACUCAGAAGAUUGGAGCCCAGAUUUCCAGCAUUACAUCUUAAUUUAGAAAUGUUUUAUUGUAGCCUGAAAAGCAACGAGGAAGCCAGCUUCACCAAGCCUUCUCUUCUCUCAUCGGCACAACCCACCCAACUGCCUUUCUGCACAUAACACCACCUUCUAGUUGACUCAGCACCACCUAUUAAUGGAUGUGAAGACCAAUGGUAACUCUGAAUAUCACACAAACUUUGUAUUUCAGUUAUCCAGCACUGAAGAAUUCACCACCCCCAAACUUAGUGGCUUUAAAUGAUAGCAUUUAUUUUGAUUAUGAAUCAGCAAUUUGGGCAGGGUUUGGGGUGGCACGUCAUCCCUGCUCUACUUGGUAUCAAAUGGAGUGGCUCGAAAAGUGGAACACUGGAAUUAUCUGAAAGCUUGCAUAUUCAUGCAUCUCACGGUUGAUGUUGACUGUCCUCUGAUACCUUAGCUGGGGCUUACAAAUGGCUUCUCCGUGGGGCCUGGCUUCUUUACAAUAUGGUUGCUGAGUUCCAAGACUGAGCAUCAUAUAGGAUCUAGAGACUGUGCUCUUAAACCCUGCACCAUGCCAUCUCUCAGUUAUACCAUUUUGCUGGUUCUGAACUUGACAGCACGCAGAAGGCAUGUGAUACAGGCAUUCUCCCUACAACAUCCUAAAUAGGUGUUCACCUAACCCAUAAUGGAUCACCUUUAAGGAUAGGGAGCUCAUUACCACAUUAGGCAGCUUGUUCUGUAUACUUUUCAUUGUUCCUGUGGUUGGAGCAUCCUUCCUUACAUGAAGUUGGAGGCUUCCUUCCUGUAAUUUCUGUUCAUUAGCCACAGGCAUACUGUUGGGACCAAGGAGAAUAAGCCUUUCACAUACCAGGCAUUGCAAUAAGUGGAGGGGCAUAAUGCCCUCCCGGGGUUCUCUCUUCGUUUGGACACUUGUCCCUUCAUCUUUGAUCUCUGCGUCUCCUCGGACUCCCAGUGAGUCUCACUUGGGUAAGCUCUACGUUGUCAGUGUCCCUCUUAAAACACAGAGCCCAGAAAUGAACACAGUCUUCCCAUAUUUGUGUAUCACAUUAUGACACGGUAAUUAACCCUGUACCUUCUGACUCAUGGCUUCUAUUGCCAUCUGGUGGGACACUUAGCCAUGGAAUGUUAUUUAACUGUUUACAUAUUUAUGCCUGAUUUUCUCAAUUUUAUAAGAAGAUUUUCAAGAUAAUAUGUUGAACUUUUUUUUUCUCUGUAACAGCUUCUAGUAUAUUGGAUGUAAUUGAAUAACAGAUCCUAGACAUUAUUUCCAGGGAUGACACUUGUUGGCAAUGUAAAUGAACAUAUUAUUUCUCAUUCUCAGCUUGCUCAUAUAUUAAAGGGGAAUAAUGAUAUGUGCCAGAUUUGAAUCAUAUGGCUUUUUGAUAAAGAAUCAAAUGAGAUAACAUUAAUGAAGGCAAUAUUUAAACAACAAAGAGAAAUAAUAAGGGUAGGAUAUUAUUGUUUUUAGUAUAAACUCAAAAAUUCCAGUUCAGGGUGAAUAGGUUAAGAAAACAGACCCAUGGACUUAACUGCUAACUUGCUGCCUGGCAAUAAAAACAGAGGAGAAAAGACAUCUAUAACAAAUACAUCUAGUUGAAAUACUUGCUGUUUCAUUGCUAGUCAUGGGGUUUAAUUUUGGUGAGAGAGGGAAAGCGGGAAGCUGAUAAGAUCUUCAAGUUGUUUUGACUAUUUAUGAUUACUCUCUGAAGAUGGGCCAUUUCAUAAUUGGCAGGAUUUUAGUGCUUUUUGUAGGAAAGCAAUGCUAGAAAAUAGAAAGAUAAAUGCUUUUUUUACUAUCAGGUUCCAUACAUGGAAGAAGGAAAAGACUUUCAUUGGAAAAGGAAGAAAGACAUUUGAAAGGCAGAAUUCCUACAAAACUUUAAUUGGUGGGAACUCCUCCAGUCAUUCCCGAUUACCCAGAGCAAACAUUCUGGAAUUAUUAAUACCUGUUAUUCCUUCCCCUUCUCUCCCUUGGCCACCCAUAGUCUGUCAUUCCCAUAUCUUGCAGAGCCUUCAUCUGCAGCCUCCAAUCAGUGUCCCCACCUCCAGUCUCUCCCCAUCCAGAGACCAUGCCAGAUGAAGCACCACACACCACCUCCCCAUUGCUCAGGAAAUGUCAGCCCAGAGUCCUCAAGCUGGUCCUCAGGGCUCUCCAUUGCCUUACCUCAUGAUUCCCAGCCACCUUCCUUUCCAGUAUUCUUUAGCACAGAUCUUCUGCAUCAGCCAUGCUGACAUCCUAGUCACUUGGAGCCCUUUGAGCUGAUGACACUUAUUUUCAUCCCUGCACAUCUGCUAUGCUGCACCUUUCAGAAGAAACACCCUUUCCUUGCACCUUCCCCAACUAAACCCAAUCUAUUCUUAAUGAUGAGCUGAAAUCCUGCUUUCUCUAUAGGACUUUCUCUGACAACAAAAGCCCUCAUUGGCUUUCUGUGCCUACUCUAUCACGUCUGCACAUUGCCAUUUUAUUAUAUACCUGCAACCUUGUCUUGUGGCACCGACCCCCCACCCCCAAAAACUAUAAUGUCCACCAGGGAAGUACAUUUUUUUUCAGGUUAAUUGGAGGAAAACCAUACAAAUUUAUUUAACAUGUAUACAUGGGGAGAACCACAGAGUGAUUACCCUAAUUCUUUAUAUUCCAUGCUUAAAUAAUAAUAUUUGAUGAAAGAUAUUAAAAUAUCUAAACUUAAGCAAGGGCACAAAAGAAACCCCAUUUCUCUGCCUUCAAGAAAAAGCAGGAAAAGAUAAAAAAUUUAGUUUGGCCUAUCCAUCUGAUAAGGGAUUGAUAACCAUAAUAUAUAAGGAGCUCAAACAACUCAAUAGCAAACAAACAAACAAAAUCCAAAUAAUCUGAUUUUAAAGCGGGCAAAAGAUCUGAGUAGUCAUUUCUCAGAAGACAGAAAGUGGCCAACAGGCAUAUGAAAAAAAAAAAUGCUCAAGCAUCAUUAACUAUCAGAGAAAU